GGGGGGUCAUCAUCACUGAUAACGUUGUUCCUGUCAUGAUCUGAUAGGUUCAGCAUAUGCAUUCAACAGCCUGGCUGGCAAAUGGCCUGUCUCCCCCUCAUAGUCCGUAUCUGACCCAUCACAAUCACUGAGGACAGCAUCUUUCCCAGGGUAGCCUAGUGGUUAGAGUGUUGGGCUAGUAACCGGAAGGUUGCAAGUUCAAAUCCCCGAGCUGACAAGGUAAAAAUCUGUCGUUCUGCCCCUGAACAGGCAGUUAACCCACUGUUCCUAGGCUGUCAUUGAAAAUAAGAAUUUGUUCUUAACUGACUUGCCUGGUUAAAUAAAGAAAAAAUACAAAUUGAGGGAUAACUGCAAUGUUGCACGCCUUGUUGUCUGGGCAGUCACCUAGAUCCAACAUAUCCAGAACUUGACUCAAAGUCAAACAAAAAGAAAGAACAGAGUAGGAAGUUAGUUAGAACGAGAACUAUGUAUGUGUAUAACUAUGUGUAUACCUAGAUGCACUGUGUUAUCCCGACGGUCACUAUUGUUGCCGUCAACAUGUUUACUCAUUCUAUGACCACACCGAUCCAAGUUGAGUAAUUGCAAAUGCAUAUAUCAAUACUAGACACCUUAAAGAUGAUGUGUACCAACAUUUUUUGUCCCAUCUUUAUGUCAACAUACUUUACUAACCUUUAGUUUGGGAGCUUUGACACAACCAUCCUCUUCUCAUGGUGCAACCAGGAAGUAAACGGCUCUGGUCAUGUGACAAUUUACACUAAACAUGUGACACUGCACAUAUUUAAUUGAGACCCUUUAUCGUAUCAAUAUUUGCUAGAAAUGCAUUGAUACAUCAUUCAGUAACAUCUUUAGAGCCUAAUAAUGUUUUUUUCACUGAGCUUUUCAGUAAGGCCAUUCUUCUGCCAAUGUUUGUCUAUGGAGAUUGCAUGGCUGUGUGCUUGAUUUUUCUUUACACCUGUCAGCAACAGGUGUGGCUGAAAUAAACAAAUCCACUAAUUUGAAGGGCGUCCACAUACUUUUGAUCAUGUAGUGUAGCUUACAUUGCGUGUCUGUUUUUUGUUAUAGUGUUUUGAUUUUGAGUACUGCGCUGUUGGGAAGGGCUUACAAGUUCAUGUUAAGCAUUUCACUGUACUUGUGCAUGUGACAAAUAAAACCUGAAAAAUCGACAUUUUGCGAUGGCUUUCUCAGUCUCUGGACCCCAUCGAAAAGCUGUGGUUUGAAUUGAAGAAGGCAAUCAGUCUAUAAGCUCAGACGAAGGAUAUCAAGGAUCUGUAAAGAUUCUGUAUGGAGGAAUGGUCUUAAGAUUCCUCCUAAUGUUGUUCUCCAAUCUCAUGAAAUAUUUUUAGAAGAAGGGCUCGUUGUCGUCGUCGGGAAAGGUGAGGAGGGUGCUGGACUAUUGAAAACCGGGGAUUCAAUAAUGUUGACUCAUCUGUUUUAGAUGUAUUUGUUGUAUUACUUGUUAAACAGAGCAUACAAUAUAACUCUGCAUUUGUAUUAUCUAUUUUCAAGUAUUUUUUGUUGUUUUGUUGCUCAUCUUUAUCAAGGGAUCCAAUCAAUUUGGACCCCACGGUGCAUACAGUACAAUGGGAGAGGGGUGUGGCAUGCACAGGAGGACCAGGAUGUUGAACUCAGACCACUAUUGAGGACUGGGACUCUCAUAUCUAGAGACUUAGGAGAACUUCUGUGAGUGUAAUGUUUACUGUUCAUUUUAUUUCACUUUUGUAUAUUUAUCUACCUCACUUGCUUUGGCAACGUUAACAUAUGUUUCCCGUGCCAAUAAAGCCCCUUGAAUUGAAUAGAUAAACGUUAACAUAUGUUUCCCGUGCCAAUAAAGCCCCUUGAAUUGACCUCCUCGCUAAAGGAACUUCUAGCCAGCAAUUUAAGUGCAGUGGAUUUGAGAGUUUCAUUCCAUCUUUGUUUGAACCUCGCAGGAGUUUAUGUUAUGAUCCGCUAAAAGAAGAGACGGAAAAAACAGAACGUCUUUACUACUCAACGGUCCCUGUCAGGGAGAAAUCUCCAGCUCUGGUCCCCCACCAGCAGCAGAGGGAACUGUGGAGUCAGCUUUACCCUCUGUCACCAUGGAGGAGCUACCCUCCACCUCACCAUCAACACCUUGGCCAGCACCAACAGUGCCACCCCAACCCAUCAUCUCCCGUCCUGCACCAGCUCACUCUGGCUUUGCUCCCCAACCCAUCACCUCCUGUCCUGCACCAGCUCAUUCCAUCCACUCUGGCUCUACACCCAAACCCAUCACCUCCUGUCCUGCACCAGCUCAUUCCAUCCACUCUGGCUCUACACCCAAACCCAUCACCUCCUGUCCUGCACCAGCUCAUUCCAUCCACUCUGGCACCGCACCCCAACCCAUCACCUCCUGUCCUGCACCAGCUCAUUCCAUCCACUCUGGCUUUGCUCCCCAACCCAUCACCUCCCGUCCUGCACCAUCUCACUACAUCCACUCUGGCUCUACACCCCAACCCAUCACGUCUGGCUGGACACCACAGGGCUCCCAAGUCAAUCUGCUCCAACAAAUCCUGGACACACAGGAUUUGUGCCUCAGCCACCCUUCCUCUGGGAACACCAUCAGCCUCCAUGUGCAGUCCCCUCACAUUAAUAUAGUGUUUAAUUGCUAAAUUGUAAUUAUUUCGCCGCUAUGGCCUAUUUAUUGCCUUACCUCCCUAAUCUUACUUCAUUUUCGGCACACUGUAUAUACACUUUUCUAUUGUGUUAUUGACUGUAUGUUUGUUUAUUCCAUGUGUAACUCUGUUUGUGUCUAACUGCUUUGCUUUAUCAUGGCCAGGUCGCAGUUGUAAAUGAGAACUUGAUCUCGACUGGCCUACCUGGUUAAAUAAAGGUGAAAUAAAUAAACAAAGCACGUAGUGAGUCACUCAGCCACUGAGCGGGAGAGGAAGAUCGGGCCGCCCGGGAGGAAAGGGGACAGUUGAAGUCAAAGGAUGUGGAAAGGGAGGAGACAGAAGGGAGAAGGAUUUAGCAUUAGGAAGAGGGUAGGAUAGAAAAGAGGGUAGGGUCGAAAAGGCAGUCGGUAGACAAUGUCAUAAAAUACAACAAGUGUUCUCUUGUUUUCUUACUCGGGCCAGGUCAAAUGUUCCUCUGCUUUUGCUGGACCCUUCUGCUCUCUUGACCCGACUCUAUGCCCUUUCCCCCCCUUAUCCCCUGUUCAAACGGGAUAGGAGUGAAGGACUGCAUCGGUACACACAACACAUUACCUGAUGACUGAAUUCUUCUGCUGCUCUGUUGUUCGCGGCCGUCAUUUAAUUUGUUUGUGGUGACGUCAAAAUGAUGGAGUGUUGAACAAAACAAAGUCGUCAGCGAUUGGCUGAUCUCUAACCGAUCAGUAUCAUACGGUCUAGAAAUUGUCAGGUGGUACUCCUAGGUCUGGUCCAGACUCAUUGCAGAGAUCCGUGAGCUUGGCGUAGCGUUUGGUCCGAGCAAGGAGUUUGGGUAGCCAGGCAACACAACACACGCACAAUUCAUAGAAAAAGUGUUGUGUCAACUAAUUAGGGAAAUGGCGCACAUUUGAUAGUUUAAUGUUUUGACAUGAACUGAGCUUAAGAACAUGUUCUGUACCUUUUGCUUUGGUUAAUGUUUUGGUUAACGUUCGCUGCCUGCACCCGCACGCCUGACCAGCAUCACCACCCUGGAUGGUUCCAACCUUGAAUAUGUGGACAUCUAUAAGUACCUAGGUGUCUGGCUAGACUGUAAACUCUCCUUCCAGACUCAUAUCAAACAUCUCCAAUCGAAAAUCAAAUCAAGAGUCGGCUUUCUAUUCCGCAACAAAGCCUCCUUCACUCACGCCGCCAAACUUACCCUAGUAAAACUGACUAUCCUACCGAUCCUCGACUUCGGCGUGGUCAUCUACAAAAUUGCUUCCAACACUCUACUCAGCAAACUGGAUGCAGUUUAUCACAGUGCCAUUCGUUUUGUCACUAAAGCACCUUAUACCACCCACCACUGCGACUUGUAUGCUCUAGUCGGCUGGCCCUCGCUACAUAUUCGUCGCCAGACCCACUGGCUCCAGGUCAUCUACAAGUCCAUGCUAGGUAAAGCUCCGCCUUAUCUCAGUUCACUGGUCACGAUGGCAACACCCAUCCGUAGCACGCGCUCCAGCAGGUGUAUCUCACUGAUCAUCCCUAAAGCCAACACCUCAUUUGGCCGCCUUUC